GACGAAUCUAUUGUUUGCCAAGCUUGUCACUUACCGGUGGCAGGGGAGGGCAGCGAAAAGAGGGAUC
rnacentral:ncRNA from 1 species